UUUUUUUGAAAAGAUUGGAGAUU
rnacentral:snRNA from 1 species